GACGAACGCUGGCGGCAUGCUUAACACAUGCAAGUCGAACGGAAAGGGCGGCUUUCCUUUUUGACUUACGGGUGCACGCGUGGCGAACGCGUGUGUACCACCUGAGUGCUCUGGCACCAACUUUGCUAUAAGCCGGGAAUACUGCUUCCAAUCCCCGAUAGAACUGCUGGGAUGUUCGUUCAGUGGCAAAGGAUCUUCUACUGGUUGGGGAUGGGUUGGCGGUGUAUCAGCGUGUGGGUGGGGUAAUGGCCUACCAAUGCGGCGACGGGGAGGCGGACUGAGAGGGGGGACGGCCACAUUGGGACUGAGAUACGGCCCAGACGCCUACGGGAGGCAGCAGUGGGGAAUAUUGGACAAUGGGCGGAAGCCUGAUGCAGCGACGCUGCGUGGGGGAUGACGGCCUUCGGGUUGUAAACUCCUUUCGACCGCGAGGAAGCCACCUGGUGGGAGGGGUGGUGACGGUAGUGGGAGAAGAAGCACCGGCUAACUACGUG
rnacentral:rRNA from 1 species